rnacentral:rRNA from 1 species
GACGAACGCUGGCGGCGUGCUUAACACAUGCAAGUCGAACGCUGAAGCUCAGCUUGCUGGGUGGAUGAGUGGCGAACGGGUGAGUAACACGUGAGUAACCUGCCCUCUUCUUUGGGAUAACGCCGGGAAACGGGUGCUAAUACUGGAUAUUCACUGAUUCUCGCAUGGGGGGUGGUGGAAAGGUUUUGGCUGGUGGGGGAGGGGCUCGCGGCCUAUCAGCUUGUUGGUGGGGUGUUGGCCUACCAUGGCUUUGACGGGUAGCCGGCCUGAGGGGGUGACCGGUCCCGUUGGGACUGAGAGACGGACCAGACUUCUGCGACAGGCCGCAGUGGGGCGUAUUGCAGCAGGGGCGAAAGCUUGAUGCAGCGCCGACGCGUGAGGGAUGGAGGCCUUCGGGUUGUAAACCUCUUUCGCUCAUGGUCACGCCGCAGCCUUGGGUUGUAGUGAGGGUAGUGGGUAAAGAAGCGCCGGCUAACUACGUG